GGCAGCUCUGCCGAAUCCCGUCCCAAGUUCCUACAGCAAACGUCAUCCCCGAGGACGCAAACUGCCCCUCUGGGAACCUCAGUGGAGAGGUGGGGCAGGGGGAAGAGAGGGUCAGCGCGAGCACUGAGGCCGCAGACAGACAGACAGACCCUCCGGCAGACACGGGGCUGGGCUUCUAGCACGAGGACCGAGCCGCAAGUGUGGGGAGCGGGCCCCUGGGAGCGCCAAUCAGAGUUCACCACGGUGACCGCGCCCCCUCCCAGGAAGGGCCGAUGCCCUCCAGGUCGGCCCUGCCCCGUGAGAUGUGCUGGUGGCGUGCCUCCAUUGCUGUGCCCGCGGUACCCUCGCUGUGCACCCAGGGCAACGCUGCGCGCCCCAGCGGCGGCAGAAAGGAGCCUGGGAGCCCCAGAAGCGCUGGACGGCCACUGCGCGCCCGCCCCCCAGCAAGUAGCCAGGGAAGUGGGGGCCUUCAGGGUCCCUGCCGGGAACCUGCCCGGAGCCCUCGCUCCCGAGGCUAACCGCGCCUGUUUGCUUUGUCUCCUUAGAGGUGUUGUUUUUUUUUUUUUUGCCCAUCUAGUCCUUAAAUCGGAGAAGGCAAUGGCACCCCGCUCCAGUACUCUGGCCUGGAAAAUCCCAUGGCUGGAGGAGCCUGGUAGGCUGCAGUCCACGGGGUCGCUAAGAGUCAGAUACAACCGAGCGACUUCACUUUCACUUUUCACUUUCAUGCGUUGGAGAAGGAAAUGGCAACCCACUCCAGUGUUCUUGCCUGGAGGAUCCCAGGGAUGGGGGAGCCUGGUGGGCUGCCAUCUAUGGGGUCGCACGGAGUCAGACAUGACAGAAGUGACUUAGCAGUAGCAGUCCUUAAAUAUCCUCCCCUUUUCUAAGCCUGGCUUCCUGUUGGAACAUCAAGACUAUAUGUUCGGGGAUUUAUCCAGAACUGUCAAAACCAGGUACCGCCUCCAUCUGAGCCACAGAUGAUGACAGAGUCAAACCUGGGAGCCCAGUGACCUCUGGGGGCAGCGCGUCAGGCUCCUCGGGCUUCUCACCAAGGUACCAGGGACUCCGCGGAGCAGACACAGCCGCUCCCGGCUCUGGAGACUGGAAGUCCAGAGAAGAGGCGUCUGUGGGGCUGUGCUCCCUCGGGGCUCUGCAGGGAGCCUGCCCCUGGCUCCUGAGUUACCAGCCAACGCUGGGAUUCCUUGGGUUGGAGAUGCUUCCCUGUGACCUCUGCCUCCACCAGCACUUGGCGUUCCCCCAGUGUGGUCUCAGAUCCAAACUCCUCCUGCGUUCCCCCAGUGUGGUCUCAGAUCCAAACUCCUCCUUUUAUAAGGACACUGAGUUACAGUGGGUUCAGGGCCCUCUUCACCCCAGUGAAGUCUGACCAGUCUGACCUCAUCUCAACUUGAAGACAUCUGCAAAGACCUUAUUUCUAAAUAAGGUGACAUUCCCAAGAGCCUGGUAGGACUCGAACACGUCUUUUUGGGGACACAAUACAACCCACAAAACGCAGUGUUUAUGAGUCUACUGAAAAACUGAAGUGCUGCUGAUUAGUCAUCGAGGUCCUGGUAAGGAAGACGGAAUAAGCCACCACCAACCGGAAGAGUUCGGGAAAGGCUGAAAGGAGUCACCGAGUGUCCAUCCACUUCCCAGAAUCCCUCCCGCUAGCAUCCAUCUUGGCUGAGCGAUGCUGCUCCACCAGGAAAGACUCUGAGUUAGAGUGAUUGGCCAAAGACCACCUGGAAACUAAUCCCAUCACCAUAAACCCGAGACUGCGAGCCAUGCGGCAGAGCAGUUCUCCUGGGUUCCCUUCCCCUACUGCUCUCCACCCGGGUGCCCUUUCCCAAUAAAAUCUCUUGCUUUGCC
ensembl:lncRNA